UUAAGCGACUAAGCGUACACGGUGGAUGCCCUGGCAGUCAGAGGCGAUGAAGGACGUGCUAAUCUGCGAAAAGCGUCGGUAAGGUGAUAUGAACCGUUAUAACCGGCGAUGUCCGAAUGGGGAAACCCAGUGUGAUUCGUCACACUAUCGUUAACUGAAUACAUAGGUUAACGAGGCGAACCGGGGGAACUGAAACAUCUAAGUACCCCGAGGAAAAGAAAUCAACCGAGAUUCCCCCAGUAGCGGCGAGCGAACGGGGAGCAGCCCAGAGUCUGAAUCAGCUUGUGUGUUAGUGGAACGGUCUGGAAAGUCCGACGGUACAGGGUGAUAGUCCCGUACACCAAAAUGCACAGGUUGUGAACUCGAAGAGUAGGGCGGGACACGUGGUAUCCUGUCUGAAUAUGGGGGGACCAUCCUCCAAGGCUAAAUACUCCUGACUGACCGAUAGUGAACCAGUACCGUGAGGGAAAGGCGAAAAGAACCCCGGCGAGGGGAGUGAAAAAGAACCUGAAACCGUGUACGUACAAGCAGUGGGAGCACCUUCGGGUGUGACUGCGUACCUUUUGUAUAAUGGGUCAGCGACUUAUAUUCUGUAGCAAGGUUAACCGUAUAGGGGAGCCGCAGGGAAACCGAGUCUUAACUGGGCGUUAAGUUGCAGGGUAUAGACCCGAAACCCGGUGAUCUAGCCAUGGGCAGGUUGAAGGUUGGGUAACACUAACUGGAGGACCGAACCGACUAAUGUUGAAAAAUUAGCGGAUGACUUGUGGCUGGGGGUGAAAGGCCAAUCAAACCGGGAGAUAGCUGGUUCUCCCCGAAAGCUAUUUAGGUAGCGCCUCGUGAAUUCAUCUUCGGGGGUAGAGCACUGUUUCGGCUAGGGGGUCAUCCCGACUUACCAACCCGAUGCAAACUACGAAUACCGAAGAAUGUUAUCACGGGAGACACACGGCGGGUGCUAACGUCCGUCGUGAAGAGGGAAACAACCCAGACCGCCAGCUAAGGUCCCAAAGUCAUGGUUAAGUGGGAAACGAUGUGGGAAGGCACAGACAGCCAGGAUGUUGGCUUAGAAGCAGCCAUCAUUUAAAGAAAGCGUAAUAGCUCACUGGUCGAGUCGGCCUGCGCGGAAGAUGUAACGGGGCUAAACCAUGCACCGAAGCUGCGGCAGCGACACUAUGUGUUGUUGGGUAGGGGAGCGUUCUGUAAGCCUGCGAAGGUGUGCUGUGAGGCAUGCUGGAGGUAUCAGAAGUGCGAAUGCUGACAUAAGUAACGAUAAAGCGGGUGAAAAGCCCGCUCGCCGGAAGACCAAGGGUUCCUGUCCAACGUUAAUCGGGGCAGGGUGAGUCGACCCCUAAGGCGAGGCCGAAAGGCGUAGUCGAUGGGAAACAGGUUAAUAUUCCUGUACUUGGUGUUACUGCGAAGGGGGGACGGAGAAGGCUAUGUUAGCCGGGCGACGGUUGUCCCGGUUUAAGCAUGUAGGCUGGUUAUCCAGGCAAAUCCGGAUAAUCAAGGCUGAGGUGUGAUGACGAGGCACUACGGUGCUGAAGUAACAAAUGCCCUGCUUCCAGGAAAAGCCUCUAAGCAUCAGGUAACAUCAAAUCGUACCCCAAACCGACACAGGUGGUCAGGUAGAGAAUACCAAGGCGCUUGAGAGAACUCGGGUGAAGGAACUAGGCAAAAUGGUGCCGUAACUUCGGGAGAAGGCACGCUGGUGUGUAGGUGAAGUCCCUGCGGAUGGAGCUGAGACCAGUCGAAGAUACCAGCUGGCUGCAACUGUUUAUUAAAAACACAGCACUGUGCAAACACGAAAGUGGACGUAUACGGUGUGACGCCUGCCCGGUGCCGGAAGGUUAAUUGAUGGGGUUAUCCGUAAGGAGAAGCUCUUGAUCGAAGCCCCGGUAAACGGCGGCCGUAACUAUAACGGUCCUAAGGUAGCGAAAUUCCUUGUCGGGUAAGUUCCGACCUGCACGAAUGGCGUAAUGAUGGCCAGGCUGUCUCCACCCGAGACUCAGUGAAAUUGAACUCGCUGUGAAGAUGCAGUGUACCCGCGGCAAGACGGAAAGACCCCGUGAACCUUUACUAUAGCUUGACACUGAACAUUGAGCCUUGAUGUGUAGGAUAGGUGGGAGGCUUUGAAGCGUGGACGCCAGUCUGCGUGGAGCCAACCUUGAAAUACCACCCUUUAAUGUUUGAUGUUCUAACGUUGGCCCCUUACCGGGGUUGCGGACAGUGUCUGGUGGGUAGUUUGACUGGGGCGGUCUCCUCCCAAAGCGUAACGGAGGAGCACGAAGGUUAGCUAAUCCUGGUCGGACAUCAGGAGGUUAGUGCAAUGGCAUAAGCUAGCUUGACUGCGAGCGUGACGGCGCGAGCAGGUGCGAAAGCAGGUCAUAGUGAUCCGGUGGUUCUGAAUGGAAGGGCCAUCGCUCAACGGAUAAAAGGUACUCCGGGGAUAACAGGCUGAUACCGCCCAAGAGUUCAUAUCGACGGCGGUGUUUGGCACCUCGAUGUCGGCUCAUCACAUCCUGGGGCUGAAGUAGGUCCCAAGGGUAUGGCUGUUCGCCAUUUAAAGUGGUACGCGAGCUGGGUUUAGAACGUCGUGAGACAGUUCGGUCCCUAUCUGCCGUGGGCGCUGGAGAAUUGAGGGGGGCUGCUCCUAGUACGAGAGGACCGGAGUGGACGCAUCACUGGUGUUCGGGUUGUCAUGCCAAUGGCACUGCCCGGUAGCUAAAUGCGGAAGAGAUAAGUGCUGAAAGCAUCUAAGCACGAAACUUGCCCCGAGAUGAGUUCUCCCUGAGACUUUAAGUCUCCUGAAGGAACGUUAAAGACGAUGACGUUGAUAGGCCGGGUGUGUAAGCGCAGCGAUGCGUUGAGCUAACCGGUACUAAUGAACCGUGAGGCUUAACCU
rnacentral:rRNA from 1 species